UACGAAGGGGGCUAGCGUUGCUCGGAAUCACUGGGCGUAAAGGGUGCGUAGGCGGGUCUUUAAGUCAGGGGUGAAAUCCUGGGGCUCAACUCCAGAACUGCCUUUGAUACUGAGGAUCUUGAGUUCGGGAGAGGUGAGUGGAACUGCGAGUGUAGAGGUGAAAUUCGUAGAUAUUCGCAAGAACACCAGUGGCGAAGGCGGCUCUCUGGAACGCAACUGACGCUGAGACGCGAAAGCGUGGGGAGCAAACAGG
rnacentral:rRNA from 1 species